UACAUACACACACCCACACACACACACACACAAAAUGAGUCAUUUUAAAAAAUAGAACCAUCAAUUGUGCCGUGAAGUUUUCUCCAGUUUGAGAAAACUAACCACCCAGAAUCCUAUGUCACGGUUUUCUCUCUUCCCAUGCAUUUUCCUGCUCUCUCUCAGCUAGUAAACACCAAAAAACACAAAUGCAAUCAUGGAGAACAAAACCCACCUGCAAAAUUCCGGCU
rnacentral:misc_RNA from 1 species